UACGUAGGGGGCGAGCGUUGUCCGGAAUUAUUGGGCGUAAAGAGCGUGUAGGCGGUUCGAUAAGUUUGCUGUAAAAGUCGGGGGCUCAACCCCCGAAAGCCGGUGAAUACUGUCGGACUAGAGUACGGAAGAGGCGAGUGGAAUUCCUGGUGUAGCGGUGAAAUGCGCAGAUAUCAGGAGGAACACCAAUUGCGAAGGCAGCUCGCUGGGACGUUACUGACGCUGAGACGCGAAAGCGUGGGGAGCAAACAGG
rnacentral:rRNA from 1 species